rnacentral:rRNA from 1 species
CGAAGAUGGAAGGGCUCCAUGCGUUCCUAAAGCUGAUAGUCCACAGGGUGCAAUUCCCAGCAGGAAGACGCNUCGNUCCCUGUUUUAGAGUGCCAGAACCCAAAGUUCGGUGUUGAAGAGUUUUGUGUGUUUCUUCGUAGAUUGUCUACUUGUGGAACAAUUUUGCUAUUUUCACACUUUUAGGUGGUUGUGUUUUCUUCCCGCCCCCAGCCGGGGUGUUAAAAAUNAANGNAGANUNNCUCUCCGUUGGGGGGGGGNUGCGGAAGGAUCAUUACUGUGAUUUACUACUACACUGCGUGAGCGGAACGAAAACAACAACACCUAAAAUGUGGAAUAUAGCAUAUAGUUGACAAGAGAAAUUUACGAAAAAACAAACAAAACUUUCAACAACGGAUCUCUUGGUUCUCGCAUCGAUGAAGAGCGCAGCGAAAUGCGAUACCUAGUGUGAAUUGCAGCCAUCGUGAAUCAUCGAGUUCUUGAACGCACAUUGCGCCCCUCGGCAUUCCGGGGGGCAUGCCUGUUUGAGCGUCGUUUCCAUCUUGCGCGUGCGCAGAGUUGGGGGAGCGGAGCGGACGACGUGUAAAGAGCGUCGGAGCUGCGACUCGCCUGAAAGGGAGCGAAGCUGGCCGAGCGAACUAGACUUUUUUUCAGGGACGCUUGGCGGCCGAGAGCGAGUGUUGCGGAGACAACAAAAAGCUCGACCUCAAAUCAGGUAGGAA